AUGUCAUGGGUCGGACCCGUUCCUGGGCCCUGUUCCUACGUUUGGUAUGUAACUGGAACCAGAACGACAUCGUUCCCACCGAGCGAAUAUUCGGUCUAUAUCCGGAACAUGCCGAUACCUCCAAAUCGGAGGAACGACGCGGAACGGCUCUUGCUCACCCCUCACGUCUCCCUCGGCGGCCCGCUUAUCUCCCUCUCUCGCCUCUCUCUCUCUCUCUCAUCCGACAGGAACAGGCAGGCGGCGGCGGCAGGAGGUGAGCGGCGGCAGCGGGAACCGGCAGGCGGCAGAGCUGGAAGAAGGCGAGCGGCAGCAGGCGGUGCCUGCUCUGCUUGUACUUGUCCCUGCCUCCGCACCCACCAUCGGCGCACCAGGCAGUCGCCCCCUCCUCCUACGCCUUGA
rnacentral:rRNA from 1 species